rnacentral:rRNA from 1 species
AGUGAACGCUGGCGGUAGGCCUAACACAUGCAAGUCGAACGGCAGCACAGUAAGAGCUUGCUCUUACGGGUGGCGAGUGGCGGACGGGUGAGGAAUACAUCGGAAUCUACUUUUUCGUGGGGGAUAACGUAGGGAAACUUACGCUAAUACCGCAUACGACCUACGGGUGAAAGCAGUGGAUCUUCGGACCUUGCGCGAAUGAAUGAGCCGAUGUCGGAUUAGCUAGUUGGCGGGUUAAUGGCCCACCAAGGCGACGAUACGUAGCUGGUCUGAGAGAAUGAUCAGCCGCACUAGAGGUGAGACACGGUCCAGACUCCUACGAGAGGCCGCAGUGUGGAAUAUUGGACAGUGGGCGCGAGCCUGAUACAGCCAUACCGCGUGGGAGAAGAAGGCCUUCGGGGUGUAAAGCCCUUUUGUUGGGAAAGAAAAGCAGCAGGUUAAUACCACGCUGUUCUGACGGUACCCAAAGAAUAAGCACCGGCUAACUUCGUG